rnacentral:rRNA from 1 species
CAGUCGCCACGGUAAUACAGAGGGUGCGAGCGUUAAUCGGAUUUACUGGGCGUAAAGCGUGCGUAGGCGGCUUCUUAAGUCGGAUGUGAAAUCCCUGAGCUUAACUUAGGAAUUGCAUUCGAUACUGGGAAGCUAGAGUAUGGGAGAGGAUGGUAGAAUUCCAGGUGUAGCGGUGAAAUGCGUAGAGAUCUGGAGGAAUACCGAUGGCGAAGGCAGCCAUCUGGCCUAAUACUGACGCUGAGGUACGAAAGAAUGGGGAGCAAACAGGAUUAGAUACCCCUGUAGUCCCUGUCUCUUAUAC